rnacentral:rRNA from 1 species
AGAGGGGGAUAACGUUUGGAAACGAACGCUAAUACCGCAUGAUAUUAUUGAGCUGCAUGGCUUGAUAAUCAAAGGAGUAAUCCGCUGAAAGAUGGGCUCGCGUCCGAUUAGGUAGUUGGCGGGGCAACGGCCCACCAAGCCGACGAUCGGUAGCCGGACUGAGAGGUUGAACGGCCACAUUGGGACUGAGACACGGCCCAGACUCCUACGGGAGGCAGCAGUGAGGGAUAUUGGUCAAUGGGGGAAACCCUGAACCAGCAACGCCGCGUGAGGGAAGACGGUUUUCGGAUUGUAAACCUCUGUCCUCUGUGAAGAUAAUGACGGUAGCAGAGGAGGAAGCUCCGGCUAACUACGUGCCAGCAGCCGCGGUAAUACGUAGGGAGCAAGCGUUGUCCGGAUUUACUGGGUGUAAAGGGUGCAUAGGCGGCUUUGCAAGUCAGAAGUGAAAUCCAUGGGCUUAACCCAUGAACUGCUUUUGAAACUGCAGAGCUUGAGUGGAGUAGAGGUAGGCGGAAUUCCCGGUGUAGCGGUGAAAUGCGUAGAGAUCGGGAGGAACACCAGUGGCGAAGGCGGCCUGCUGGGCUCUAACUGACGCUGAGGCACGAAAGCGUGGGUAGCAAACAGGAUUAGAUACCCUGGUAGUCCACGCUGUAAACGAUGAUUACUAGGUGUGGGUGGACUGACCCCAUCCGUGCCGGAGUUA